UUGAUUUAUUAAUACAUUUAUUUAUUUUAUGUACGAUGAAAUAGAUGAAAAGGAUGGAAAAAUGGGAUUCCUGUUGAAACGGUCCAAAUUUCCAACAAUUGUUUAUUUCCCAUUUCCCCCAUACUUUCUCUCUCUCUCUCUCUUUCUCUUUCUCUAAGAAUAUUAUGAAAUUUAUCGCUUUACUUUAUUACAUUUUACUGCACUACAAAAUAAAAUUUUAUUCUUGGAAUAGAGCGACGUAAUCUUUGCGAAACCAUUCUUUUAACGCACAUUGGUACAUUUCUUAAACUCCGAUAUUCUACUUGCACCCACUCUACCUAAGCUUCUUUGAAUUUUCAUUGGAUCGGUCGCAGCGUAAAGAUAGGUAAAGAAGGAAGCUGGUUGGAGAUGGUAAUAAUAAUAAAUUACAUUAUUGGAUAGGCUGAUAGGCUUGUUCCAAAUGAGAAUGCAACAUCCCUUUUCCUUUGUAUCCCUUUUGCUUACCAAGAAAGUAUCAUUGGACCCGUGUAGAAUGAGGAAACUAGUCCGUGGAGAUGGACCGUUGGGGAUUGGAGCGUUGUAUCGUAAGCGAGAAUAGUGUAGGGUGGGUUCAGCAACGGUGAGGGAGGUAAUGUGAGUUGGAGUGAAAGAUAAGGAAAUGGAAGGUGGUGCGAUGGAGGUACGAUGUAGGAGUUUAAUAAAAAGAUGAAGGGUAGUGCGUUGGAAUGUGUUGUUAAGAUAGACGAGGAGGGAGUGUGUGUGUGAGUGUGGUUGAAUUAGAAUUCGUAUGUGUGUAUUUGAAUUUG